CAUGCUGUCAGGACAGAAGGAUCUCCGCAGCACGCGAACCAGGGCAGAACAGGACUCGUCAAAACAACACGCGGAGCCGAGUGGGGUUGUAAAAACCUCAAAACUCCAACAAGUGGUGACCCCGACGUUUACGAGUGGGCGUUCAGCGGGAGUCACAUCAGCAGCCAGCGGACGAAGCUGUCCAGGGGUGACACCUCGAAAUACUUUCUGACAACUAAAAACAGAGCUCUAUACAAAAUAUCAGGUAAGCACGGAUACCCGUUACACUCAAAAUCUGUGAUUUGGCUAUAUUCAAAUUUUUUAGAGUUGUCAGGAAUAUUUCUCAGUGUCUAGUCUUCACGCUAAAGAUAAUGCAAUGCAUAUUUUAGCAUAGGUAGGUAACUAACUAAGAAUAAUAAGAUUAAUAAAGCAACGGUUAGGAACCUCGUGGAUUUUUCAGAAUCGCACGACUAACUCGUUAGCUCCAUGUGAAGCGAUGAGGACUGUAAGAAGAAGGUGAAAGGCCCCGUGCGUUUUUUUCAGAACUCGACACGGCUAACUCUCGGGGGCGUUCAGUGGUUUCUAAUGAUUCCAUCCAGUGGUUUCUAAUGAUUCCAUCCAGAACUAAAUUGAAUAAUGCUUUCCAGUCUCAUAGGAGCUGCAGUUGCAUUAUAAGUGAAUCCAAGGGGAGAUACGCAAAUUUCAAAUAACCAUUUUGAAAGGACCGGAAUCUCGUUCUCUUGUUCUGUGGGGUUAAUCUAUCUAGCCAAAGGUGACGAUAAAGAGAUUAUGUUAUCUGUUGAAAUAAACAUCGCACCAUAAAGCUGGAUAGACUGUACGGGGAAUAAUUUUCUGGGAAUAAUUACUAAUAGAUAAGGGAGAAAAGUCAGAUAAAGAAAUGCGUGGUCACCAGGGGUUAAAGAAAUCCCCCCUUUUUCUUCACAGCUUUCCUCUAAUUGCUGAAGCAACAGCCAGAAGUGUGACUGCUUGUGCUUCUUCUCAAAAUGCCUCAAAAAUGGCUGCUGAGCGUUGAAUUUAAAACAAGGAGUGAAUAAUCAACGACUGGUCUGAAGUUGGAGUGAAUAACAUUGAAAAUUAAUAGAUCAAUGUGUCGUAGAUAUUUAAAUAAAUAAGAAACUAUAAUUUGUCGUUUUUAGCAUAGUUUUUGUGGGAUGCAGUUACGUCACAUUGUGGUUUUCAUGAGAAGUUUUGAGAACUGAUUGUUACUAUUGCAUUGCAUUGUGAAUUUUGUGCUAUUUGUCAUUAGGUAGUUUUUGUAAUAUCAUUAGUAGACAUUAAUUGUGUUUAUGAAGAAAGAGUAGAAAGUAAACAGGAGGGAUCUGUUCAUGUUUAAACAUAACAGAGGUGCUGCACGAGGCUAAAAGCACACUGUUGGCUAAACACAGAGAGGUGAUUGAUGAGAGAAGCUUGUGCAGGAGCAGGCAGCUGCAGGGCACAGAGAGAGAGAGACAGGAGAAGUAGAUGUUUUGAAGAGUUCAGAGAGAGUACAACUUAUAUAAAGUUAACUACUAGUCUGAAGAAUGUUAUAUUGUUUUGUGAGUAAACAUGAAGUAAAAAUAUAAGAACAACAUGCUUAUAUAGGUUGACAGAAAGCUGCUAUUAACCAGUUUCAGCAGCUACUGUCCUAUCUGUGUUCCAAAGAGAACAUACGUUGCAUUUACAAUUCAUAUUAAGAAAGUUCACAAUUGAUACCAUUAAAGGCCGUUUUGGAUUAAUAGGCCGUGUCUGUCAUAAACAUUCGUGCUCGGAUGGAAUAAAGUGUUGAGAUGUUCUCAAGAGUGGGAGUUUUCACAACGCUUUUUAGUUUGUAUUGAAACAAUUAAGUGGUAAGGACAGAAAACUGUUCCGCGAUGAUUUCUUUAGGUUUUAGCUUUAGUAAUGGAGAUUACAUUUUGUGAGGAAACUUUUCCACCAAUAAUAACUGUUCAAAAUAUAUAUUCAGUAACUGUAAUCAGAUUACUUGUUUUUCAAAUAUAGCGCUAAAUACAGUUAGUUUUGUAUUCUGUUACAAAUCUAACCUGCUUGUAACACAACUUAGAUAAACAAUUUGAAAAAUAAUAGAAUAGGCAAGUGGUUAAGGAGGUUUUCCUGUUUUGCUCAUUUGAUUUGGAAGUCAAGUAAGGAAGAAUAGUGUUUUAUGAGAACUGUCAUUCCUCAUGGUUUUUAAAGAUAAAUCAUCAGUUUGUUUGGACUUUGAGGUAAAAAUAGGAUCGGGGUGGAGAAGGAAGACCUUUUUUGGUUUCAAAUUAAAAAAA